rnacentral:rRNA from 1 species
UAGGAGGGGGGCGAGCGUUGUUCGGAAUUAUUGGGCGUAAAGGGUGCGUAGGCGGUUUGAUAAGUCUUGUGUGAAAUCUCUGGGCUCAACCCAGAGUCUGCAUAGGAGACUGUCGGGCUUGAGUAUGGGAGAGGUGAGUGGAAUUUCCGGUGUAGCGGUGAAAUGCGUAGAUAUCUGGAGGAACACCGGUGGCGAAGGCGGCGUUCUGGACUGCAACUGACACUGAUGAACGAAAGCCAGGGGAGCAAACGGG